rnacentral:rRNA from 1 species
GACGAACGCUGGCGGCGCGCCUAACACAUGCAAGUCGAGCGGAGCUGAGAGAAGCUUGCUUUUCUUAGCUUAGUGGCGAACGGGUGAGUAACGCGUGAGUAACCUGCCCUGGAGUGGGGGACAACAGUUGGAAACGACUGCUAAUACCGCAUAAGCCCACGAUCCGGCAUCGGAUUGAGGGAAAAGGAUUUAUUCGCUUCAGGAUGGACUCGCGUCCAAUUAGCUAGUUGGUGAGGUAACGGCCCACCAAGGCGACGAUUGGUAGCCGGACUGAGAGGUUGAACGGCCACAUUGGGACUGAGACACGGCCCAGACUCCUACGGGAGGCAGCAGUGGGGGAUAUUGCACAAUGGGGGAAACCCUGAUGCAGCGACGCCGCGUGGAGGAAGAAGGUUUUCGGAUUGUAAACUCCUGUCGUUAGGGACGAUAAUGACGGUACCUAACAAGAAAGCACCGGCUAACUACGUG